rnacentral:lncRNA from 1 species
GUUAAUCAUUAAUGAAUUUCAUUAUUUCAAUAUUCUUCUAGACUCCAAGAAAGAUUCUACCAUUCUUUCUCUGUCUACAAACUUAGUGGUUUAAUGGUUUAACAACUUUAAGCCUGUAACUUAACUUUAAUCACAAGAAAAUCAUAGACAAUCACAUAAAAAAUUCAAGAGAGUCAAGAAAAUCAUUGUUGAAUAAAAUGCAGAUUUUUAUCGACGAACAACAAAUUAGGAAAAUGAAGAGUUUCAACUGAUAAUGGUGAUCAGACUGAGGUCAUGUUAAUAUUAAAUCAUUCACAAAUAAAUACGAUAUUGGUGAUGAAGACAACUUAAGCUUGCAAAAAUCAAAGAUACACGACAAAAUUGGUGCCACACAUCUCCCUGUUUCCAUCUCUAGAUACCCUCUAAAUGGCAAAUUUGGUAAUUUCUUCCUCACCUACAAUUUUCUACCCAUAAUCAUCAUUCUAAAAUCCAAAAAUCCAAGGAGAGAAUUCAGAAAGAGCUCUCUGGCGACUGCUAUUAAUUAAAUUAUUAUAUGAUAAACCAAUUAUAUUUAAUAGUUAAUACCUAAAAUCUAAAUAGAUGAGGCUGAUGAGCACUUGAGUAGGGCUGGAGUCUAGAGAUGUCGAGAAGAGCAGGACACCGACUGGAAAACAGAAAACUUUUGGGAGGACCAUUGACGUAGAAAACUUAUAGGAAAACAAAAAAGUUUUUGGAGAGGAGAUUUGGGAAUUCUAAAUUGAAGAAGACGACUUACCUUUUGAUUGAAUCGGCCUUCAAUUUCCUUCUCGUCCCUUCAAUUUCCUUCUCGUAGUGUCCGUUCAAUUUCCUUAAUGGCUUAAGUUUCUACUGGAUUCAAACAUGGGCUGUUGGGAUAAUGGUAUUACUAUGAGUUUUGAGGUACUGAGCGUAAGCCUCAAUUUUUGAGGCCCUAGGCGAUUGCCU